GACGAACGCUGGCGGCGCGCCUAACACAUGCAAGUCGAACGAGAGAUGAGGAGCUUGCUCUUCAAAUCGAGUGGCGAACGGGUGAGUAACGCGUGAGGAACCUGCCUCAAAGAGGGGGACAACAGUUGGAAACGACUGCUAAUACCGCAUAAGCCCACAGCUCGGCAUCGAGCAGAGGGAAAAGGAGCAAUCCGCUUUGAGAUGGCCUCGCGUCCGAUUAGCUAGUUGGUGAGGUAACGGCCCACCAAGGCGACGAUCGGUAGCCGGACUGAGAGGUUGAACGGCCACAUUGGGACUGAGACACGGCCCAGACUCCUACGGGAGGCAGCAGUGGGGAAUAUUGCACAAUGGGGGAAACCCUGAUGCAGCGACGCCGCGUGGAGGAAGAAGGUCUUCGGAUUGUAAACUCCUGUUGUUGAGGAAGAUAAUGACGGUACUCAACAAGGAAGUGACGGCUAACUACGUGCCAGCAGCCGCGGUAAAACGUAGGUCACAAGCGUUGUCCGGAAUUACUGGGUGUAAAGGGAGCGCAGGCGGGAGAACAAGUUGGAAGUGAAAUCCAUGGGCUCAACCCAUGAACUGCUUUCAAAACUGUUUUUCUUGAGUAGUGCAGAGGUAGGCGGAAUUCCCGGUGUAGCGGUGGAAUGCGUAGAUAUCGGGAGGAACACCAGUGGCGAAGGCGGCCUACUGGGCACCAACUGACGCUGAGGCUCGAAAGUGUGGGUAGCAAACAGGAUUAGAUACCCUGGUAGUCCACACCGUAAACGAUGAUUACUAGGUGUUGGAGGAUUGACCCCUUCAGUGCCGCAGUUAACACAAUAAGUAAUCCACCUGGGGAGUACGACCGCAAGGUUGAAACUCAAAGGAAUUGACGGGGGCCCGCACAAGCAGUGGAGUAUGUGGUUUAAUUCGACGCAACGCGAAGAACCUUACCAAGUCUUGACAUCCCUUGACGAUGCUGGAAACAGUAUUUCUCUUCGGAGCAAGGAGACAGGUGGUGCAUGGUUGUCGUCAGCUCGUGUCGUGAGAUGUUGGGUUAAGUCCCGCAACGAGCGCAACCCUUAUGGUCAGUUACUACGCAAGAGGACUCUGGCCAGACUGCCGUUGACAAAACGGAGGAAGGUGGGGAUGACGUCAAAUCAUCAUGCCCUUUAUGACUUGGGCUACACACGUACUACAAUGGCGUUAAACAAAGAGAAGCAAGACCGCGAGGUGGAGCAAAACUCAGAAACAACGUCCCAGUUCGGACUGCAGGCUGCAACUCGCCUGCACGAAGUCGGAAUUGCUAGUAAUCGUGGAUCAGCAUGCCACGGUGAAUACGUUCCCGGGCCU
rnacentral:rRNA from 1 species